UGAGUAACCUGCCCUUCACUCUGGGAUAACUCCGGGAAACCGGGGCUAAUACUGGAUAUGACUCGAACAGGCAUCUGUUUCGGGUGGAAAGAUUUAUUGGUGGAGGAUGGACUCGCGGCCUGUCAGCUUGUUGGUGAGGUAAUGGC
rnacentral:rRNA from 1 species